AUUGAACGCUGGCGGCAGGCUUAACACAUGCAAGUCGAACGAUGAUUUCCCAGCUUGCUGGGAAUGAUUAGUGGCGGACGGGUGAGUAACAUUUAGGAAUCUGCCUAGUAGUGGGGGAUAGCUCGGGGAAACUCGAAUUAAUACCGCAUACGACCUACGGGUGAAAGGGGGCGCAAGCUCUUGCUAUUAGAUGAGCCUAAAUCAGAUUAGCUAGUUGGUGGGGUAAAGGCCCACCAAGGCGACGAUCUGUAACUGGUCUGAGAGGAUGAUCAGUCACACCGGAACUGAGACACGGUCCGGACUCCUACGGGAGGCAGCAGUGGGGAAUAUUGGACAAUGGGGGCAACCCUGAUCCAGCCAUGCCGCGUGUGUGAAGAAGGCCUUUUGGUUGUAAAGCACUUUAAGCAGGGAGGAGAGGCUAAUGGUUAAUACCCAUUAGAUUAGACGUUACCUGCAGAAUAAGCACCGGCUAACUCUGUGCCAGCAGCCGCGGUAAUACAGAGGGUGCGAGCGUUAAUCGGAAUUACUGGGCGUAAAGCGAGUGUAGGUGGCUCAUUAAGUCACAUGUGAAAUCCCCGGGGCUUAACCUGGGAACUGCAUGUGAUACUGGUGGUGCUAGAAUAUGUGAGAGGGAAGUAGAAUUCCAGGUGUAGCGGUGAAAUGCGUAGAGAUCUGGAGGAAUACCGAUGGCGAAGGCAGCUUCCUGGCAUAAUAUUGACACUGAGAUUCGAAAGCGUGGGUAGCAAACAGGAUUAGAUACCCUGGUAGUCCACGCCGUAAACGAUGUCUACUAGCCGUUGGGGUCCUUGAGACUUUAGUGGCGCAGUUAACGCGAUAAGUAGACCGCCUGGGGAGUACGGCCGCAAGGUUAAAACUCAAAUGAAUUGACGGGGGCCCGCACAAGCGGUGGAGCAUGUGGUUUAAUUCGAUGCAACGCGAAGAACCUUACCUGGUCUUGACAUAGUGAGAAUCCUGCAGAGAUGCGGGAGUGCCUUCGGGAAUUCACAUACAGGUGCUGCAUGGCUGUCGUCAGCUCGUGUCGUGAGAUGUUGGGUUAAGUCCCGCAACGAGCGCAACCCUUUUCCUUAUUUGCCAGCGGGUUAAGCCGGGAACUUUAAGGAUACUGCCAGUGACAAACUGGAGGAAGGCGGGGACGACGUCAAGUCAUCAUGGCCCUUACGACCAGGGCUACACACGUGCUACAAUGGUAGGUACAGAGGGUUGCUACACAGCGAUGUGAUGCUAAUCUCAAAAAGCCUAUCGUAGUCCGGAUUGGAGUCUGCAACUCGACUCCAUGAAGUCGGAAUCGCUAGUAAUCGCAGAUCGGAAUGCUGCGGUGAAUACGUUCCCGGGCCU
rnacentral:rRNA from 1 species